rnacentral:rRNA from 1 species
CGGAGGGUGCAAGCAUUAAUCGGAAUUAUGGGCGUAAAGGGCGCGUAGGCGGAGAUGUAAGUCAGAUGUGAAAUUCCGAGGCUCAACUUCGGAGCUGCAUUUGAAACUAUAUUUCUUGAGGAUUGGCGGAGAGAACGGAAUUCCACGUGUAGCGGUGAAAUGCGUAGAUAUGUGGAAGAACACCGGUGGCGAAAGCGGUUCUCUAGCUUAUACCUGACGCUGAGGCGCGAGAGCAAGGGGAGCAAACAGGAUUAGAUACCCUGGUAGUCCUUGCCGUAAACGAUGCAUACUUGAUGUAGGUGGGCUCAACCCUGCCUGUGUCGAAGCUAACGCGAUAAGUAUGCCGCCUGAGGAGUACGCUCGCAAGAGUG